GGGGUUGUGGCUCAGUGGUAGAGUGCUUGCCUUGCAUGCAUGAGGCACUGGGUUCAAUCCCCAGCAACACAU
rnacentral:tRNA from 2 species